rnacentral:rRNA from 1 species
AUACGUAGGGGGCGAGCGUUGUCCGGAAUGACUGGGCGUAAAGGGCGUGUAGGCGGCGCCAUAAGUCUGGAGUGAAAGUCCCGCUUUCAAGGUGGGAAUUGCUUUGGAGACUGGUUGGCUUGAGUGCGGAAGAGGUAAGUGGAAUUCCCAGUGUAGCGGUGAAAUGCGUAGAGAUUGGGAGGAACACCAGUGGCGAAGGCGACUUACUGGGCCGUAACUGACGCUGAGGCGCGAAAGCGUGGGGAGCGAACAGGAUUAGAUACCCUGGUAGUCCACGCUGUAAACGAUGAAUGCUAGGUGUAGGGGGUAUCGACCCCUCCUGUGCCGGAGUAAACGCAAUAAGCAUUCCGCCUGGGGAGUACGGCCGCAAGGUUGAAACUCAAAUGAAUUGGCGGGG